CCCUUAGAUGUUCUGGGCCGCACGCGCGCUACACUGACUGGUGCAACAAGUGUCUGACCUUGGCUCGAGAGGCCUGGGCAACCUUUGAACGCCAGUCGUGCUGGGGAUAGACCUUUGCAAUUAUGGGUCUUCAACGAGGAAUUCCUAGUAAACGCAAGUCAUCAGCUUGCAUUGAUUACGUCCCUGCCCUUUGUACACACCGCCCGUCGCACCUACCGAUUGAAUGGUCCGGUGAAAUCUCGGGACGGCGGCUUGGUCGCUUGCGUCCGACUGCUGAAACUUGAUUAAACCAUAUCAUUUAGAGGAAGGUGAAGUCGUAACA
rnacentral:rRNA from 1 species